rnacentral:rRNA from 1 species
UACGGAGGGUGCGAGCGUUGUUCGGAAUUAUUGGGCGUAAAGCGCGUGUAGGCGGUUUUUUAAGUCUGAUGUGAAAGCCCUGGGCUCAACCCGGGAAGUGCAUUGGAAACUGGGAGACUUGAAUACGGGAGAGGGCAGUGGAAUUCCUGGUGUAGGAGUGAAAUGCGUAGAUAUCAGGAGGAACACCGGUGGCGAAGGCGGCUGCCUGGACCGAUAUUGACGCUGAGACGCGAAAGCGUGGGGAGCAAACAGG